rnacentral:rRNA from 1 species
UACGUAGGGUCCGAGCGUUGUCCGGAAUUACUGGGCGUAAAGAGCUUGUAGGCGGUUUGUCGCGUUGGUCGUGAAAUCUCACGGCUUAACUGUGGGCGUGCGGGCGAUACGGGCAGACUAGAGUACUGCAGGGGAGACUGGAAUUCCUGGUGUAGCGGUGGAAUGCGCAGAUAUCAGGAGGAACACCGGUGGCGAAGGCGGGUCUCUGGGCAGUAACUGACGCUGAGAAGCGAAAGCGUGGGGAGCGAACAGG